rnacentral:rRNA from 1 species
AUUGAACGCUGGCGGCAGGCUUAACACAUGCAAGUCGAGCGGUAGCACAGGGGAGCUUGCUCCCUGGGUGACGAGCGGCGGACGGGUGAGUAAUGUCUGGGAAACUGCCUGAUGGAGGGGGAUAACUACUGGAAACGGUAGCUAAUACCGCAUAACGUCGCAAGACCAAAGAGGGGGACCUUCGGGCCUCUUGCCAUCAGAUGUGCCCAGAUGGGAUUAGCUAGUAGGUGGGGUAAUGGCUCACCUAGGCGACGAUCCCUAGCUGGUCUGAGAGGAUGACCAGCCACACUGGAACUGAGACACGGUCCAGACUCCUACGGGAGGCAGCAGUGGGGAAUAGUUGCACAAUGGGCGCAAGGCCUGAUGGCAGCCAUGCCGCGUGUGUG